rnacentral:rRNA from 1 species
GACGAACGCUGGCGGCGUGCCUAAUACAUGCAAGUCGAACGAGUGGCGGACGGGUGAGUAACACGUGGGAACCUACCCAUCAGAGGGGGAUAACUACUGGAAACGGUAGCUAAUACCGCAUACCAUCGGAUGUGCCCAGAUGGGAUUAGCUAGUAGGUGGGGUACCGGCUCACCUAGGCGACGAUCCCUAGCUGGUCUGAGAGGAUGACCAGCCACACGGGAACUGAGACACGGUGCAGACUGCUACGGGGGGCAGCAGUGGGGAAUAUUGCACAAUCGGCGCGAGCCUGAUGCAGCAACGCUGCGGGCGGGAUGACGGCUUUCGGGGUGUAAACCGCUUUCAGCCAGGACGCGGUAGUGGCAGAAGAAGCACCGGCUAACUACGUGCCAGCAGCCGCGGUAAUAC